AACGAACGCUGGCGGCAUGCCUAACACAUGCGAGUCGAACGAGACCUUCGUGUCAAGUGGCGCUCGGGGGCGUAACGCGGGGGAACCUUCCCGUAGGUACGGAAUAAUUCCUCGAAAUGGGUGCUAAUAACGGAUAAUUUCUUCGGACCAAAGCUUGAUCGCCCUUGGAUGGGCCUGCGUUGGUUUAGCUUGUUAGUAGGGUAAAAGCCUACCAAGGCGACGAUCCAUGGCUGGUCUGAGAGAAAGAUCAGCCACACUGGGAGUGAGACACGGCCCAGACUCCUACGGGAGGCAGGAGAGGGGAAUAUAGGCCAAUCGGCGAGGGGAUGAACCAGCACUGCCGCGUAAGUCAUUUAGGCGUGAGGGUUGAGCAGCAGUUUUAUCCGGGGCGAUAAUGACGGUACCGGAAGAAUAAGCACCGGCUAACUUCGUG
rnacentral:rRNA from 1 species